UGUAUACAUUAAGGUGUGCAGGUCC
rnacentral:piRNA from 1 species